rnacentral:rRNA from 1 species
AUUGAACGCUGGCGGCAUGCUUUACACAUGCAAGUCGAACGGUAACAGGUUAAGCUGACGAGUGGCGAACGGGUGAGUAAUGCAUCGGAACGUGCCCGAUCGUGGGGGAUAACGCCGCGAAAGCUGCGCUAAUACCGCAUACGAUCUGAGGAUGAAAGCGGGGGACCGUAAGGCCUCGCGCGAUCGGAGCGGCCGAUGUCAGAUUAGGUAGUUGGUGGGGUAAAGGCUCACCAAGCCAACGAUCUGUAGCUGGUCUGAGAGGACGCUCAGCCACACUGGGACUGAGACACGGCCCAGACUCCUACGGGAGGCAGCAGUGGGGAAUUUUGGACAAUGGGCGAAAGCCUGAUCCAGCAAUGCCGCGUGUGUGAAGAAGGCCUUCGGGUUGUAAAGCACUUUUGUCCGGAAAGAAAUGGCUCUGGUUAAUACCUGGGGUCGAUGACGGUACCGGAAGAAUAAGGACCGGCUAACUACGUGCCAGCCGCCGCCGUAA